rnacentral:rRNA from 1 species
AGUGAACGCUGGCGGUAGGCCUAACACAUGCAAGUCGAACGGCAACACAGUAAGAGCUUGCUCUUACGGGUGGCGAGUGGCGGACGGGUGAGGAAUACAUCGGAAUCUACUUUUUCGGGGGGGAUAACGUAGGGAAACUUACGCUAAUACCGCAUACGACCUACGGGUGAAAGCAGGGGAUCUUCGGACCUUGCGCGAUUGAAUGAGCCGAUGCCGGAUUAGCUAGUUGGCGGGGUAACGGCCCACCAAGGCGACGAUCCGUAGCUGGUCUGAGGGGAUGAUCAGCCACACUGGAACUGAGACACGGUCCAGACUCCUACGGGAGGCAGCAGUGGGGAAUAUUGGACAAUGGGCGAAAGCCUGAUCCAGCCAUACCGCGUGGGUGAAGAAGGCCUUCGGGUUGUAAAGCCCUUUUGUUGGGAAAGAAAAGCAGCAGGUUAAUACCCCGCUGUUCUGACGGUACCCAAAGAAUAAGCACCGGCUAACUUCGUG